AACGUUACUUUUGUCGUUUUAAGAGACUUGAAACAAUUUCAAUGUUUAUAAGCAUUAAUCUAUUCUUUAAAGUGUUCGUUCUGUGAAACAGCCUAAUAAUAGCAAUUGGUUUCCUUUUCCAUUCAGUCAGUGAUGCUUCUGAUGGAUAGUUUCUGUCUCACGCCAGCGCCAAACCGUGAUGCUGCAAAGGAGCAACAUUAAUGUGUCACUUUCAGUGUGGUAUUAAAUGAGUGUCUGUGUGUAUGAACGCACCUGGAUCCUUCAAGGAGUCAGCGUAAACCUCGCAGGAUGAAGAGAAACUGGCGGCGCUCCUCGAGAUCAGACCCGUUUGACUGGGAGGAGCGCGUGGAAAUUUCCACCAUGUGAUGAUGGCAAACCCUCCACGAGCGUCAAAUUACACCAACAACACACACACGAGCAGCGGAGACUUCAUGCACCGUCCACCCACAGUGAUGUCAAAAACAACUUCUGGCACUCAGGCUGAGAAAUUCACAGCUUUAUUUCCAGCGUAUCCAUCCACACUGCCCUGAAUCAACAGCGGCAAGAAUCAGAGCCCGAGGCAAACCCACAGAUCAGGCGUGUGAGACCGAGGGACAUUUUAAUUAAAAAAAACUCAUGCAGUUUGUACAAUUCUUUCUUAAUUUUUUUUAUGUAUUUCCUAUUGAAAUAUGCAGCUAAUAAGAUAAAAAGCACAGUAAAAAGGCGCUUUGCUGGGCCAGAAUUUGUGUUUCUGCAUUUGAGAAAAAUCUACUGUACAGCAGUUUAAAGUUCAAUUAGUGCCUUGAGCUUUUAAAGCGAUAGUUUCUUUCUUCUGUUGAGAACAAAAGAAGAUAUUUUGAAGAUUUUUUGUAGCCAUUGACUUAGUAUUUUUGAUCAUACUGUGGAAGCCAAUGGCUGUUUGGUUAUCAACAUUCUUCAAAAUAUCUUCUUUUGUGCUCAACAGAAGAAAGAAACUCUUACAGGUUUGGAACAACUUGAGGGUGAGUAAAUGAUGACAGAAUUGUUAUUUUUGAGUGAACUAUCCCUUUAAAUAUAAUCAAAUUGGCUGUACAAGUUAUUUUAACUGAAAUUAUAGUAAACUGAAUUAAAAAUCGAGUUGAACCUCAUACGUGACCCUGGAGCACAAAAGCAGUCUUAAGUCUCUGGGGUAAAGUUGUAGCAACAGCCAAAAAUACAUUGUAUGGGUCAAAAUUAUUGAUUUUUCUUUUAUGCCAAAAAUCAUCAGGAUAUUAAGUAAAGAUCAUGUUCCUUGAAGAUAUUUUGUAAAUUUCCUACUGUAAAUAUAUCAAAACUUAAUUUUUGAUUAGUAAAAUGCAUAGCUAAGAAUUCAUUUGAACAACUUUAAAGGGGAUUUUCUCAAUAUUUAGAUUUUUUUGCUCCCUCAGAUUCCAGAUUUUCAAAUAGUUGUAUCGCCUCCAAAUAUUGUCCUCCUAAUAAACCAUACAUCAAUGGAAAGAUUAUUUAAUCA
ensembl:lncRNA